UACAGAGGGUGCAAGCGUUAAUCGGAAUUACUGGGCGUAAAGCGCGCGCAGGCGGCCUCGCGCGCCCGACGUGAAAGCCCCCGGCUUAACCGGGGAGGGUCGUUGGGGACGGCGGGGCUUGAGGGCGGGAGAGGGUGGUGGAAUUCCCGGUGUAGUGGUGAAAUGCGUAGAGAUCGGGAGGAACACCCGUGGCGAAGGCGGCCACCUGGGCCGACCCUGACGCUGAGGCGCGAAGGCGUGGGGAGCGAACGGG
rnacentral:rRNA from 1 species